AGUGAACGCUGGCGGUAGGCCUAACACAUGCAAGUCGAACGGCAGCACAGUAAGAGCUUGCUCUUACGGGUGGCGAGUGGCGGACGGGUGAGGAAUACGUCGGAAUCUACUUUUUCGUGGGGGAUAACGUAGGGAAACUUACGCUAAUACCGCAUACGACCUACGGGUGAAAGCAGGGGAUCUUCGGACCUUGCGCGAUUGAAUGAGCCGAUGUCGGAUUAGCUAGUUGGCGGGGUAAAGGCCCACCAAGGCGACGAUCCGUAGCUGGUCUGAGAGGAUGAUCAGCCACACUGGAACUGAGACACGGUCCAGACUCCUACGGGAGGCAGCAGUGGGGAAUAUUGGACAAUGGGCGCAGGCCUGAUCCAGCCAUACCGCGUGGGUGAAGAAGGCCUUCGGGUUGUAAAGCCCUUUUGUUGGGAAAGAAAAGCAGCAGGUUAAUACCCCGCUGUUCUGACGGUACCCAAAGAAUAAGCACCGGCUAACUUCGUG
rnacentral:rRNA from 1 species